UACGUAAGGGGCGAGCGUUGUCCGGAUUUAUUGGGCGUAAAGAGCUCGUAGGCGGCUUGGCAAGUCGGGUGUGAAACCUCCAGGCUCAACCUGGAGACGCCACUCGAUACUGCUAUGGCUAGAGUCCGGUAGGGGACCACGGAAUUCCUGGUGUAGCGGUGAAAUGCGCAGAUAUCAGGAGGAACACCGGUGGCGAAGGCGGUGGUCUGGGCCGGCACUGACGCUGAGGAGCGAAAGCGUGGGGAGCGAACAGG
rnacentral:rRNA from 1 species